rnacentral:rRNA from 1 species
CCUACGGGAGGCAGCAGUCGAGAAUCAUUCACAAUGGGGGAAACCCUGAUGGUGCGACGCCGCGUGGGGGAAUGAAGGUCUUCGGAUUGUAAACCCCUGUCAUGUGGGAGCCAAUUAAAAAGAUAGUACCACAAGAGGAAGUGACGGCCAACUCUGUGCCAGCAGCCGCGGUAAUACAGAGGUCUCAAGCGUUGUUCGGAUUCACUGGGCGUAAAGCGUGUGUAGGUUGUUUCGUAAGUCGCGUGGGAAAGGCGCGGGCUCAACCCGCGGACGGCACAUGAUACUGCGAGACGAGAGUAAGGGAGAGGGAAGCGGAAUUCGCGGUGUAGCAGUGAAAUGCGUAGAUAUCGAGAAGAACACUCGUGGCGAAGGCGGGUUCCUGGACAUUAACUGACGCUGAGGCACGAAGGCGAGGGGAGCGAAAGGGAUUAGAUACCCUAGUAGUC